UACGUAGGGUGCAAGCGUUGUCCGGAAUUAUUGGGCGUAAAGAGCUCGUAGGCGGUUCGUCGCGUCGGCUGUGAAAACCCGGAGCUCAACUCCGGGCCUGCAGUCGAUACGGGGCGGACUAGAGUUCGGCAGGGGAGACUGGAAUUCCUGGUGUAGCGGUGAAAUGCGCAGAUAUCAGGAGGAACACCGGUGGCGAAGGCGGGUCUCUGGGCCGAUACUGACGCUGAGGAGCGAAAGCGUGGGGAGCGAACAGG
rnacentral:rRNA from 1 species